rnacentral:rRNA from 1 species
CGGGGGGAGCAAGCGUUGUUCGGAUUUACUGGGCGUAAAGGGCGCGUAGGCGGCGCCGCAAGUCACUUGUGAAAUCUCCGGGCUCAACUCGGAACGGCCAAGUGAUACUGCGGUGCUAGAGUGCGGAAGGGGCAACUGGAAUUCUUGGUGUAGCGGUGAAAUGCGUAGAUAUCAAGAGGAACACCUGCGGCGAAGGCGGGUUGCUGGGCCGACACUGACGCUGAGGCGCGAAAGCUAGGGGAGCGAACGGGAUUAGAUACCCCGGUAGUCCUAGCCUUAAACGAUGAAUGCUUGGUGUCCGGAGUUAGAUAGUCUCCGGGUGCCGUCGCUAACGCUUUUAGCAUUCCGCCUGGGGUGUACGGUCGCAAGACUG